rnacentral:rRNA from 1 species
GACGUAGGGGGCGAGCGUUGUCCGGAAUCAUUGGGCGUAAAGCGCGUGUAGGCGGCCAGAAAAGUCCGCUGUGAAAACUCGAGGCUCAACUUCGAGCUGUCGGUGGAAACUUUCUGGCUAGAGUCCGGAAGAGGAGAAUGGAAUUCCUGGUGUAGCGGUGAAAUGCGCAGAUAUCAGGAAGAACACCCGUGGCGAAGGCGGUUCUCUGGGACGGUACUGACGCUGAGACGCGAAAGCGUGGGGAGCGAACAGG